rnacentral:rRNA from 1 species
GUGGGGUGUGAAAGCCCUCGGCUCAACCGAGGAACUGCGCUCCAAACUACCGUGCUUGAGUGAGACAGAGGUAAGCGGAACUUCGGGUGGAACGGUGAAAUGUGUUGAUAUCCGAAGGAACACCGGUGGCGAAAGCGGCUUACUGGGUCUCAACUGACGCUGAUGCACGAAAGCCAGGGUAGCAAACGGG